rnacentral:misc_RNA from 1 species
UCCACAGGAGCACACAGUGAUGGGGAA